CGAGUGAAGCGGCAAUAGCUCAAAUUUGAAAUCUGGCACCUUCGGUGUCCGAGUUGUAAUUUGAAGAAGGUAUCUUUGGUUUUGGCUCUUGUCUAUGUUCCUUGGAACAGGACGUCACAGAGGGUGAGAAUCCCGUGCGAUGAGAUGCCCAAUUCCAUGUAAAGUUCCUUCGACGAGUCGAGUUGUUUGGGAAUGCAGCUCUAAGUGGGUGGUAAAUUCCAUCUAAAGCUAAAUAUUGGCGAGAGACCGAUAGCGAACAAGUACUGUGAAGGAAAGAUGAAAAGAACUUUGAAAAGAGAGUGAAAAAGUACGUGAAAUUGUUGAAAGGGAAGGGCUUGAGAUUAGACUUGGAAUUUUCCGAUUUAUUGGAGCUUUCCGGGCCAGCAUCAGUUUGGAUGGCAGGAUAAUUGCGUAGGAAAGUAGCACCAUUGUGUAUUAUAGCCUAUGUCGAUACUGCCUGUCUAGACUGAGGACCGCGUCUUGACUAGG
rnacentral:rRNA from 1 species